AGUGAACGCUGGCGGCAGGCCUAAUACAUGCAAGUCGAACGGAAGCACAGUAAGCGCUUGCUCUUACGGGUGGCGAGUGGCGGGUGGGUGAGGCAUACAUAGCCAUCUUAUUUUUCGUGGAGGAUAACGUGGGGCAGGUGCCGAUACUACCGCAUAUGAUCUACGGCAUAAAUCAGGGGUUAUUGACGGUUUGCGCGUCUGAUUGAGAUGAAGUCGGGUUGGAUUAGCUAGUGGGUAAGGUAACGCCCCACCAAGGCAACGAUGCAUAGCCGAUCUGAGAGGAUGAUCAGCCACACUGGAACUGAGACACGGUCCAGACUCCUACGGGAGGCAGCAGUGGGGAAUAUUGGACAAUGGGCGCAAGCCUGAUCCAGCAAUGCCGCGUGAGUGAAGAAGGCCUUCGGAUUGUAAAGCUCUUUUAUUAGGAAAGAACAUAAGCGUAUGAAAACCCCGCUAUUCUGACGGUACCUAAAGAAUAAGCACCGGCUAACUACGUG
rnacentral:rRNA from 1 species